ensembl:lncRNA
CAUCGUACAAUAUGUUGAUAAUUUUCGAUGGUUGCGCCGUACUUUUAUCCACGUUGACGGGACUCUCGCUGCGUACAAAGCGGCGUUCUACUUGCGGGCCCAUUUCUGACAUCAGUGAAGGCUGAAAAUCAUUUCACGGUGGAAGACAAUUUGACAUUUCUUCAACGGAAUCCAGCACCUGAAUAUGAAUGGGUGUCCACCUCCUCACCCAGAGCCAGACCUCCACCUCCUGUCACAAGUCCUCCAGAACAGCUGAAAGGCGAGGCUGAGAGGCUGGGGCCCGGAGGCUUGUGGUGCCAGGAUGGACCGGAGACUGAGGCUGGAGACCACGGGCCCGCAGCACCGGAUCAGAGGACCAGGAAUCCAUGGCUGAAGGAGCUAAUGGAGGAGCCAUGCUGAAGGCCCUGCCUGGUGGAGGAGCUGACGGAGGCCCUGCCUGGUGGAGGAUGUCUGUCGUGGGACCAGGACUCUGUCUGAGGAGAGCUGAUGGUGGAGCUGAGACGCUGGAGGACGACUAGGAAUCGACCGACGAGGAUUCCUCAAUGUGUUUAUGGAGCGGAGGCGAGCUGGUAGGGGAGCCAUGAAUCUGGAGGAUGACCAUCACUUUACCAACAAGGAUUGCGUUGGGGCCAGACUUGCGCUGUUUGUUCCAGACCAGGACUCUGGCUGAGGAGAGCUGAUGGAGGAGCCAAGACUCUGGAGGACGACAUCACUCCACCAACCAGGAUCCUCACCAGGAAUCUGGAGGACUGACGGGAGAAACCGUACAUCUGGAAGGCAAAUCCUGAGGGCGACCAGGACUCUACCAUCAAGGAUUCCUUACACAGCUGAGCUGAACUUCACCUGAUCCUGUCUGGGCGGGGGCAGACACACCUGAGCUGACCCCCACCUGAUCCGGACAUCCUGCUGGUCCUGUCUCCUCAGUUCAUCUGAGCGUCUUCCUCCAGAAGACCUGCUGAGCUCAGCGGUCUGAGGCUGAUGGAUCAAUGACCUCCUGUGGAAGUGAUCUUCUUGACCCCACAUGUACCCGUGUGCUUCCACACGCCUUUCCCUCAAGUCUGUCACUAACCUCACUACUUCACUACUCUCUACUCCUUCCCCUUCUUCUUCCUUCUCCGUGGUUCGAACCGUUACUCUGAAGGAGUGUCUCCUUGAACCUUUACACUGAAGGAGCGUCUUCCUGCCCUCAGAGGGUUCAGCGUUAGGGUUUAGAGUCAGGGUUUAGAGUCAGGGACAGGGCUGGUCAGGGAGGACUGCUUUUACACAAACCUCUUCACUUGCUUUCUGAAUGGUGACAUUUUGAAAAGAUUCAUCUGGGAAAAUGUUUUCCUCUGCUUUCCUUUACAAAAAUAUGUAUUAAACUUCUGUC